rnacentral:lncRNA from 1 species
AGACACUUUGUACCCUGCCAAGUCUGCCGAGUGCUAUUUAUUGUUGGUCAGAACCAGAACUACCAUGAGCAAGCGGAACCAAGUGUCCUAUGUGCGGCCCGCAGAGCCCGCCUUCCUGUCCCGCUUCAAAGAGAGAGUCGGCUACAAGGAGGGGCCCACCGUAGAGACCAAGGUGAGGCCGCGGGAGUCGCCCCGAGUCAGACCCUCUAUCUCCACCCCACUUCCGGCUCCUCGGUGCCGACGUAACUGACAGGUCCCUCACUCGCGACCAGCCGGACCCCAGGUCUGGCCUCUCGGGUCCAGGAAUUCUUACUUGCAGGGUGCUAUUCUUGAAAACGACCUAGCCCUAGUAGCUAGUCUAGACAGCUUUUCUGUCCUUUCUUACUUGCGGAUCUCACUUUACCUGAGCAAGGUGAUUGACAGCGUCGUCCCCUUUUUCAGAUAAGGAGACCGAAGCCACUUGAUUAAACGACUCGAAUCAGGAGUCUUUGAAGGAAUCAGCCAGGACUAGUAGAACCCCUGCUGUUUACCAAGCUGUGUGUCUCAAGAUAGGGAAAUGAAACAGUACUUCUCAAAGGGGGUUGUCUAAUGAAGGUAACAUUGAAAACACAAUGCGUUCUUGCUGCCGAGAAGCUAUGCACAGGUCAAACAAGAGGACAUGCAGUUGUGUUCAAAAGCGCAUCUAGGGAUUCUUUAGUUUUGAGGGCUAGCUAUGUAAGAGAUGGCCUGGAGCAUCCUAGACACAGUUUGAGAAAAAAAGACAGACAUAAUGGACAGUUGAGUACUCAAACUUAGUUGUCUAGACUCUUAGAAGCUGUGAAAGUUACAUGGGAUAAAAUAUAGUAGUGGGCAAAGGCCAAGUCAUGCAGGGUAUUCCCCAUAAGAUGACUGCCCAAAAUUAAAUAUUAGACAGUUGCUUGAAAAAUGAGAUAAUUCUGUAUUUAUCUCAAAGUAUGCAAAACCUUUCUUAGUUAAAAAGUAGAAAUGUUUUGACUUAGCUGACAAAAUAUAAUUGUUACAUUUGUACAGUGAGUACUAGGUUUCUGUUUGAUAAAUUUCAAAAGUUAAACAAUUAUGUACAGUAUUGUUUAUGUACAAAACCUUUUAUAUAACUAUUUGUGUGUCCUUGAAUAGCAGCUAAUAGUAUCUGCUGGGCAGUGGUGGCACAUGUCUUUGAAUCCUAGAACUCAGAAUGAAGAAGCAGGCAGAUCUCUGACUUCCAGACCAGCCUGAUCUACAAAUGGAGUUGCAGGGCAAUGAAGGCUAAACAGAGGAAACCCUGUCUUGAAAAACAAACAAAGAUAUCUACAAAACUGAAGCUGUUAGUAUAUCAAAUGAGCAGAGGUAGGGGAAAAUAUAAUUUUCCUGUUAUUUUCUGUACUUUUGUGGCUUGGAUGGUAAAGUCAGGUUGUUGGUGUUUUGUUGGUUUUUGUUGUUGUUGUUUUAUCAAAUCCAGACAAGACAGGGAUGAAAAAUAUUGAUUAGAAAAGAGGAAGCAAGAUGAUGUGGCACUGCCUUCAAUAGUCUAGAUAGAAAUUAAUCCCACUGGAGAAGUUUCCCAGUUUCUGUUUUCUGGUAUAGUAAAAAUAAACUCUUUGGAGUUUAUUUUUAAUUAAAAUUUUAUCUUCUAUUCAUUUCAAGGAUCAUUAUCCAUUUUGCUUUUGUUCUAGUUUUGCUUGUUUGUUUGUUUUGUUAUCAAGACAGGGUUUCUCUUUGUAGUCUUGGCUGGCCUGGAAAUCACUGUGUAGACCAGGCUGGCCUCAAACUCACAGAGAUCGGUCUGCCUCUGCCUCCUGAGUGCUAGGAUUAAAGGUAUACACAACCACUGCCCAGCCCACUUCACUUUAAAAAUUACAGUUGCUCACAAUGGCAGUGUUUGGUUAAAGAUUAUCAAACAUUUUCUGUAGAAAAUCCAGCCUCAGCUCCCAGAUGAAGAUGGCAAUCACAGUGACAAAGAAGAUGAACAGCCUCAAGUAGUGGUUUUAAAAAAGGGAGACCUAACAGCUGAAGAGGUCAUGAAAAUUAAAGCAGAAAUAAAGGCUGCCAAAACAGGUAUAUCCUAAAAUAAUCUGAUUUUUUUAAUUGAAUAGAAUGGUUUGAAGAAAGCCUUUGGUUCAAGCAUUAGCUUUUGUACCAGAUGUGUAACCUUGAGCAAGUGAUUUCACUCUGUGCCUCAAGUAUCACUUCAGUGAAAUAGAAAAUAAGUAGACUGACCUUAGUGUACUGUAUAAAGUAUCCUAUUGCUAAAAUAGGCCAACCAGUCAAUAGAUAUCUGUGUAAUUAGUGCCUGAAGUAUACUGUGUUAUGUAUAGUACUUGGUUUUUGGAGGUUUUUUUUUUUUGGGGGGGGGGGGGUUCGAGACAGGGUUUCUCUGUGUAGCCCUGGCUGUCCUGGAACUCACUUUGUAAACCAGGCUGGCCUCGAACUUAGAAAUCUGCCUGUCUCUGCCUGCUGAGUGCUGGGAUUAAAGCCGUGCGCCACCACACCCGGCUUUGUAUAAUACUUGUAUUAUUCCUAUUGCAUUGUUUUAUGGAAAAAUACUGUGGUUCC